UGUUGAUCUCUUUGUGCCCACGUGUC
rnacentral:piRNA from 1 species